rnacentral:lncRNA from 1 species
GGGAAAGUCUACUACAAUCUAAAGGGGGAAAUAAAAUUAAAAUACCUAACUAUUACAAAUUUGGCAUUCAAGUGCCUUCCCCAAAUAAUUACAAAUGGAAUUAAAAUAAAUAAACAAAAUUGAAACAACUAAAGCGAAUAAAUAAAAUAAAACAUUCAAAGUGCAUGCAAUAAAACACGUACAUUCACGUAGGGCAAGUAGGAUCAAAUAAAGGUAAAAUAAGGGAUAGAGUGUACCUCCCUUGCAAAUUGGGGCCCUAAUGAAGUGAAAUCAUUUAUUUACCCUCCAAAAUAAUAAAAGGGUCAAGGUACCACUUUAAUUAAUGAAUAAUCACAUGAAAUGGAAUCCAAAGCAUUUAAAGGAAGGUGAAUAACUCAUGUAAGAAUUAAAACAAGUAGUGACUUGGUUGCAAAAAAUUAAAGGAAAUUUGAGGGGUCAAUUUGAUUGAUUUUUUCAAUUAUUUGGGCCAUAGUGAAACAAGAAGAGACUUG